UCAUCAUCAUAAUAGUCAUCAUCAUAGAAGGAAUAGUCCUUAUCAUCAUCGCCAUAGUCCUUUUCAUUAUCAUCAUCAUCAUCAUCAUAGUCCUUAUCAUCAUCAUCAUCAUCAUCAUCAUCAUCAUCAUCAUCAUCAUCAUCGUAGUCCUUAUCAUCAUCAUAGUCCUUAUCAUCAUCAUCAUCAUAGUCCUUAUCAUCAUCAUCAUAGUCCUUUUCAUUAUCAUCAUCGUCAUCAUAGUCCUUUUCAUCAUCAUCAUCAUCAUCAUCAUCAUCAUCACCAUUGUCCUCCUCCUCCUCAUCAUCAUCAUCAUAGUCCUCCUCCUCCUCCUCCUCCUCAUCAUAGCCCUUAUCAUCAUCAUAGUCCGUAUCAUCAUUAUCAUCAUCAUCAUCAUCAUAAUAAUCCUCAUCAUCAUAUUCAUUUUCAUUAUCAUCAUCAUCAUCAUAGUCCUUUUCAUUAUCGUCAUCAUCAUCAUAGUCUUUUUCGUUAUCAUCAUCAUCAUCAUCAUAGUCCUUAUCAUCAUCAUCAUAGUCCUCAUCAUCAUCAUCAUCAUCACCAUCAUCAUUUUCUCCUCCUCAUCAUCAUAGUCCUUAUCAUCAUCAUCAUAGUCCUUAUAAUCAUUAUCGUAGUCCUUUUCAUUAUCAUCAUCAUCAUCAUAGUCCUUUUCAUCAUCAUCAUCAUCAUCAUAGUCCUUAUCAUCGUCAUCAUAGUCCUCAUCAUCAUCAUCAUUGUCCUCCUCAUCAUCAUCAUCAUAGUCCUCCUCCUCCUCCUCCUCAUCAGAGUUCUUAUCAUCAUCAUUGUCCUCCUCAUCAUCAUCAUUAUCAUCAUAGUCCUCAUCAUCAUCAUCAUUGUCCUCCUCAUCAUCAUCAUCAUAGUCCUCCUCCUCCUCCUCCUCAUCAGAGUUCUUAUCAUCAUCAUUGUCCUCCUCAUCAUCAUCAUUAUCAUCAUAGUCCUCAUCAUCAUCAUCAUUGUCCUCCUCAUCAUCAUCAUCAUAGUCCUCCUCCUCCUCCUCAUCAUAGUCCUUAUCAUCAUCAUUAUCCUCCUCAUCAUCAUCAUCAUCAUCAUAGUCCUCCUCCUCCUCCUCCUCCUCAUCAUAGUCCUUAUCAUCAUCAUCAUCAUCAUUAUAAAUUGUAUUUCAAUGUUUAAGGACUCUUGGAAGAUUAGUUCAAAUGGGGACUAAAAGAGAUCCAAAUCAAAUCAAAUCAA
rnacentral:lncRNA from 1 species